GUGUUUAGUGCUCAGGGCUUUAAGUGUGGAGCCGACUGGACCAGAGUCACGUUCAGUCCUGACGGCAGCUAUGUGGCGGGAGGAUCAGCUGAAGGAGCUCUGUACAUCUGGAAUGUUCUGACGGGGAAAGUUGACCGAACUCUGGACCGAAACCACAACUCUGCCAUCAACUCGGUGUCGUGGUCACCUUCGGGAGCGUACGUGGCCAGUGUGGAGAAAGGAAGCAAGACCAUCCUGUGGUCUGACAUGUGAUUGGCCGAGGAGGAGGAGGGACGCUGAUGAGCGGGAGGAGUCCGACCAUCAAACUCCUGAACUCAGACUGACUUGUGCCGAGAAGACUCGUUUUAAGAGCACUCGGACUGAGAGGACUCGUUUUAAGAGCACUCGGACUGAGAGGACUCGUUAAGAGCACUCGGACUGAGAGGACUCGUGUUGUUCUGCCUUCGUGUCGACGUGUUCAACAUAAACUCGGCUUCAUGUGUCACGAAAACAAACUGCCGACUUCAUCAGCUGCAACAAUAAAGUCUUUAUUAACACA